UACGGAGGGUGCAAGCGUUGUCCGGAAUUAUUGGGCGUAAAGAGCUCGUAGGUGGCUUGUUGCGUCUGCCGUGAAAGCCCGUGGCUUAACUACGGGUCUGCGGUGGAUACGGGCAGGCUAGAGGCUGGUAGGGGCAAGCGGAAUUCCUGGUGUAGCGGUGAAAUGCGCAGAUAUCAGGAGGAACACCGGUGGCGAAGGCGGGUCUCUGGGCCGAUACUGACGCUGAGGAGCGAAAGCGUGGGGAGCGAACAGG
rnacentral:rRNA from 1 species